UUAAAUUGAAGAGUUUGAUCAUGGCUCAGAUUGAACGUUGGCGGCAGGCCUCAUACAUGCAAGUCGAGCGGAAACGAAGGGAGCUUGCUCCCAGGCGUCGAGCGGCGGACGGGUGAGUAACGCGUAGGAAUCUGCCCAGUAGCGGGGGAUAGCCCGAGGAAACUCGGAUUAAUACCGCAUACGCCCCACGGGGGAAAGGUCGGGACCUCUUCGGAGACCGAUCACUAUUGGAGGAGCCUGCGUUGGAUUAGCUAGUUGGUAGGGUAAAGGCCUACCAAGGCGACGAUCCAUAGCUGGUCUGAGAGGACGAUCAGCCACACUGGAACUGAGACACGGUCCAGACUCCUACGGGAGGCAGCAGUAGGGAAUAUUGUGCAAUGGGGGAAACCCUGACACAGCCAUGCCGCGUGUGUGAAGAAGGCUCUAGGGUUGUAAAGCACUUUCAGUAGGGAGGAAAAAGCCGUAUUAAUACCACGGUCAUAUGACGUUACCUACAGAAGAAGAUCCGGCUAACUCCGUGCCAGCAGCCGCGGUAAUACGGAGGGAUCGAACGUUAAUCGGAAUUACUGGGCGUAAAGCGCGCGUAGGCGGUCUGUUAAGUGGGAUGUGAAAGCCCCGGGCUUAACCUGGGAAUUGCAUUCCAAAC
rnacentral:rRNA from 1 species